rnacentral:rRNA from 1 species
AGCGAACGUUUGCGGCGGGCCUAACACAUGCAAGUCGAACGGGCAGGGGCAACCCUGUCAGUGGCGCACGGGUGCGUAACACGUGGGUAAUCAACCCUUUGGACUGGGACAACCCGGGGAAACUCGGGCUAAUACCGGAUGUGGCGUGGCGGUCCUCGGACUGCUCCGCGAAAGCUCCGCAAGGGGCACCAGAGGACGAGCCCGCGUCCCAUCAGCUAGUUGGUGAGGUAAUGGCUCACCAAGGCGAAGACGGGUAGCUGGUCUGAGAGGAUGAUCAGCCACACUGGAACUGAGACACGGUCCAGACUCCUACGGGAGGCAGCAGUGGGGAAUAUUGCGCAAUGGGCGAAAGCCUGACGCAGCCACGCCGCGUGUGCGAUGAAGGUCUUCGGAUCGUAAAGCACUGUGGGGGGAGAAGAACAAGCCGGUGAAGAGCCGGCCCUGACGGUAUCCCCUUAGCAAGCACCGGCUAACUCCGUGCCAGCAGCCGCGGU